UACAGAGGUUUCAAGCGUUGUUCGGAUUCAUUGGGCGUAAAGGGUGUGUAGGUGGCGCUGUAAGUCGGGUGUGAAAUUUCGGAGCUUAACUCCGAAACUGCAUUCGAUACUGCGGUGCUUGAGGACUGGAGAGGAGACUGGAAUUCAUGGUGUAGCAGUGAAAUGCGUAGAGAUCAUGAGGAAGACCAGUGGCGAAGGCGGGUCUCUGGACAGUUCCUGACACUGAGACACGAAGGCCAGGGGAGCAAACGGG
rnacentral:rRNA from 1 species